CUCCGGUUGAUCCUGCCGGACCUGACUGCUAUCGGAUUGGUACUAAGCCAUGCGAGUCGUUGUAGCAAUACAAGGCGGACGGCUCAGUAACACGUAGUCAACCUAACCUAUGGACGUGGAUAACCUCGGGAAACUGAGAAUAAACCGCGAUAGAUCAUUAUGCCUGGAAUGGCUUAUGGUUCAAACAAUUUAUUGCCGUAGGAUGGGACUGCGGCCUAUCAGCUUGUUGGUGAGGUAAUGGCCCACCAAGGCUAUAACAGGUACGGGCUCUGAGAGGAGAAGCCCGGAGAUGGGUACUGAGACACGGACCCAGGCCCUAUGGGGCGCAGCAGGCGAGAAACCUUAGCAAUGUGCGAAAGCACGACUAGGUUAAUCCGAGUGAUUUCUGUUGAAGAAAUCUUUUGUCAGUCGUAAAACCACAGACGAAUAAGGGGUGGGCAAGUCUGGUGUCAGCCGCCGCGGUAAUACCAGCACCUCGAGUGGUCAGGAGGUUUAUUGGGCCUAAAGCAUCCGUAGCCGGCUACGCAAGUCUCCGGUUAAAUCCAGCUGCUCAACAGAUGGGCUGCCGGAGAUACUACAUAGCUAGGGAGCGGGAGAGGUAGACGGUAUUCUGUGGGUAGGGGUAAAAUCCACUGAUCCAUAGAGGACCACCAGUGGCGAAGGCGGUCUACCAGAACGCGUUCGACGGUGAGGGAUGAAAGCUGGGGGAGCAAACCGGAUUAGAUACCCGGGUAGUCCCAGCUGUAAACGAUGCAAACUCGGUGAUGCAUUGGCUUAUGGCCAAUGCAGUGCCGCAGGGAAGCCGUUAAGUUUGCCGCCUGGGAAGUACGGACGCAAGUCUGAAACUUAAAGGAAUUGGCGGGGGGAGCA
rnacentral:rRNA from 1 species